GGCGAACGCUGGCGGCGGGCUUAACACAUGCAAGUCGAACGGAAAGGCCCUGCUUUUUUGGUGUGCUGGAGUGGCGAACGCGUGAGUAACACGUAAAUAACCUGCCCUGGACUUUGGGAUAACAUCAGGAAACUGGGGCUAAUACCGGAUAGGAUCCCCUGUUGCAUGGUGGGGGGUGGAAAUUUUGGGUGGUUGGGGAUGGACUCGCGGCUGAUCAGCUUGUUGGUUGGGUAGUUGCUUACCAAGGCUUUGAAGGGUAGCCGGCAUGAGAGGGGGACCGGCCUCCUUGCGACUGCGAUACGGCCCAGACUCCUAUAGGAGGCAGCAGUCGGGAGUAUUGCACAGUGGGCGGAAGCGUGAUGCAGAAGCGCCGCGUGCGGGAUGACGGCCUUCGGGUUGUGAACAGCUUUAGCCUGUGACGCCGCGUGACUGACGGUAAUCGGUAAAGAAGCACCGGCUAACUACGUG
rnacentral:rRNA from 1 species